AUACGGAGGGUGCAAGCGUUACUCGGAAUCACUGGGCGUAAAGCGCGCGCAGGCGGUCUUUUAAGUUGGAUGUGAAAGCCUACGGCUCAACCGUAGAACUGCAUCCAAAACUAUUAGACUAGAGUGUGGGAGAGGAAGAUGGAAUUAGUUGUGUAGGGGUAAAAUCCGUAGGGAUAACUAGGAAUACCAAAAGCGAAGGCAAUCUUCUGGAACACUACUGACGCUGAGGCGCGAAAGCGUGGGGAGCAAACAGGAUUAGAUACCCUAGUAGUCC
rnacentral:rRNA from 1 species